CAUGUUACUAGAAGAAAAUUACCCACUUGGUUGAUCAAUCCUCACAAAGUGUAUGGAUCUCGUACUAAUUAAAUAAUGCCCGACCCCAAAUAUGUUUAUUCAGUCGUUCAAAGUGUCAAGGGCUAUGGUCAGUCGUUCAAAGUGUCAUGGGCUAUGUUCUUGUAGCAUCAUCCCUUGCACACUAGAUUUGAAUUCAGACAGCUCCCCGACGAAGAUGUUUUCAUCGAAGCUCCAGCCGAGGGCCUUCCUUCCACACAUAUCUUCUCCUUGAGCACCCCUUCUUUCCCCACUACAUCUUGCAACGGUGACCAAAACCCUAACCCUAGCCCCAGCUCUCCCUCCUCCAUCUAUCAUGGCNCCACCAACAGCCGCCGCAGCUCUUCCAUGAGGAAUUCCAGAUUCUCCCCGUCUUUCUUCUUUCACAACGCCAGAAUCGCUAUUACCCUGAUACCAUCCACUGUCUUCCUCCUAGACCUUGGUGGAACUCCGGUUGUCGCCACUCUGACCGUCGGCCUCAUGAUAGCCUAUAUCCUCGAUUCCAUCAAUUUUAACUCCAGUUCGUUCUUCGCAAUCUAGUUUGCCCUCAUUUUCGCUUAAAUUGUCUUCUUCUUCAGCUCCUCCCUCUCCCUCACAUUCAAUUCCAUCUCCCUCGCUUUCCUUGCCAGUUUAACUUGCGCAUGGGCCAAUUUCCUAAUUGGUGUUUGGGUUUCCCUUUGGUUCAAGUAGAUUCAAAUCGAAUACCCCACCAUUGUAAUUGCACUGGAAAGGCUAUUGUUCGCUGCAUUCCUGUCAUCGCCUUGGCUCUUUUCAGCCGGGCAGUAGUCUCUGCAAUUGGUAUGGCAAACGUCGCAUUUUAUCUCUUGGUU
rnacentral:lncRNA from 1 species